rnacentral:rRNA from 1 species
GAGUUUGAUCUUGGCUCAGAUUGAACGCUGGCGGAAUGCUUUACACAUGCAAGUCGAGCGGCAGCGCGGGGGCAACCCUGGCGGCGAGCGGCGAACGGGUGAGUAAUACAUCGGAACGUGCCCAGUCGUGGGGGAUAACGUAGCGAAAGCUACGCUAAUACCGCAUACGAUCUACGGAUGAAAGCGGGGGAUCGCAAGACCUCGCGCGAUUGGAGCGGCCGAUGGCAGAUUAGGUAGUUGGUGAGGUAAAGGCUCACCAAGCCUGCGAUCUGUAGCUGGUCUGAGAGGACGACCCAGCCACACUGGGACUGAGACACGGCCCAGACUCCUACGGGAGGCAGCAGUGGGGGAAUUUUUGGACAAUGGGCGCAAGCCUGAUCCAGCCAUUCCGCGUGCAGGAUGAAGGCCUCGGUUGUAACUGCUUUGU